CACGUAGGUGGCGAGCGUUAUCCGGAUUUACUGGGCGUAAAGCGCUUGUAGGCGGCUUCGUAAGUUGGGCGUGAAAGCUCCGGGCUUAACCCGGAGAGGCCGUCCAAUACUGCGGAGCUCGAGGGUGCCAGAGGAAGGUGGAAUUCCUGGUGUAGCGGUGAAAUGCGUAGAUAUCAGGAGGAACAACCGAGGCGAAGGCGGCUUUCGGGGGCAUUCAUGACGCUGAGAAGCGAAAGCUAGGGGAGCAAACAGG
rnacentral:rRNA from 1 species